rnacentral:rRNA from 1 species
UACGUAGGGGGCGAGCGUUAUCCGGAUUCAUUGGGCGUAAAGCGCGCGUAGGCGGCCGCCUAAGCGGAACCUCUAACCCCGGGGCUCAACCUCGGGCCGGGUUCCGGACUGGGCGGCUCGAGUGCGGUAGAGGAGAGCGGAAUUCCCGGUGUAGCGGUGGAAUGCGCAGAUAUCGGGAAGAACACCGAUGGCGAAGGCAGCUUACCAAACUAUAUCUGACGUUGAGGCACGAAAGCGUGGGGAGCAAACAGG